rnacentral:rRNA from 1 species
CAGCAGCCGCGGUAAUGCGUAGGUCCCGAGCGUUGUCCGGAUUUAUUGGGCGUAAAGCGAGUGCAGGCGGUUAGAUAAGUCUGAAGUUAAAGACUGUGGCUUAACCAUAGUAUGCUUUGGAAACUGUUUAACUUGAGUGCAGAAGGGGAGAGUGGAAUUCCAUGUGUAGCGGUGAAAUGCGUAGAUAUAUGGAGGAACACCGGUGGCGAAAGCGGCUCUCUGGUCUGCAACUGACGCUGAGGCUCGAAAGCGUGGGGAGCAAACAGGAUUAGAUACCCCCGUAGUCCCUGUCUCUUAUACC